rnacentral:rRNA from 1 species
CCUUCGGUGUCGUAGCCAACGCGUUAAGUGUUCCGCCUGGGGAGUACGCACGCAAGUGUGAAACUCAAAGGAAUUGACGGGGGCCCGCACAAGCGGUGGAGUAUGUGGUUUAAUUCGAUGCAACGCGAAGAACCUUACCAGGGUUUGACAUCCUGCGAAUCUCUUGGAAACAGGAGAGUGCCUUCGGGAACGCAGUGACAGGUGGUGCAUGGCUGUCGUCAGCUCGUGUCGUGAGAUGUUGGGUUAAGUCCCGCAACGAGCGCAACCCACGUCUUUAGUUGCCAGCAUUUAGUUGGGCACUCUAGAGAGACUGCCGGUGAUAAACCGGAGGAAGGUGUGGAUGACGUCAAGUCAUCAUGCCCCUUACAUCCUGGGCUACACACGUACUACAAUGCUACGGACAAAGGGCUGCAAGUUCGCGAGGACAAGCAAAUCCCAUAAACCGUGGCUCAGUUCAGAUCGUAGGCUGCAACUCGCCUACGUGAAGGCGGAAUCGCUAGUAAUCGCAGGUCAGCAUACUGCGGUGAAUACGUUCCCGGGCCUU